rnacentral:rRNA from 1 species
GACGUAGGGUGCAAGCGUUGUCCGGAUUUACUGGGCGUAAAGAGCGCGUAGGCGGCUCGUUAAGUGUGAAGCUAAAUCUCUUGGCUCAACCAAGAACUAUUUCGCAUACUGGCGGCUGGAGUGAUGCAGAGGUGGAUAGAAUUCCCGGUGUAGCGGUGAAAUGCGUUGAUAUCGGGAGGAAUACCCGUGGCGAAGGCGGUCCACUGGGCAUCAACUGACGCUGAGGCGCGAAAGCGUGGGUAGCGAAACAGGUUAG